UUAGUUGAAACCCAACUAGACACCCCCCUCCUAGCCUAAUCGACCACAUGCCUAAAUGGUGGGAUUUCUUUGAUUUUUAAUUAGGAUAUGUAUGUACUCUAAGGAACAUAUUAUCCAUGGGACUAAAUUGUGUUGGAGGAUAUAAGCACUAGCCUUUAGAACAUAACCACCAUUCUCAACACAACACACUUUCAAAACUUCUCUUCUUCUCUCCUCCUUGAGUUCGGCAGCCAUCUUCCACCAUACUACCACCAUCAUCAAGCUCUUGUUCAAUCAUUUCUCAUACAUACAAAGGUGUAAGAGGCCCAACAACGAAGCUCAGUGCUCUCGGAAGUGGAAGGACCUUCUCCAUUCGCUAUUAACCAUCACUUUUCUACACUCGAACUUCCCUAGCCUUGAGCUAGUGUGUUACGUGCAAUGUCGUCGCUAACUGCUUGGAGCUUGCACGAGGAUGGAGUCGUUGUGGUGUGCGGACAGUUAUGUCCAGUGUUUAAUAUUUAAAUCAUUAUGAACUUAUUAAACCUAUGUGUCGGACUUUAAACUUAUGAACUGCGAACUUAUGUUUUGAACUUUAUGUUUAUGCUUCCGCUGUCUAAAUUAAAACUUGGUUAACUAGCUUUUGGUCACCAAUCGUAUUGUGGUUGGCUUGAUU
rnacentral:lncRNA from 1 species